UGUGAGCGGCAGGCAUCAAGUAUUCCCUUCAUGGAAAGAAGCGUCCUUUGGUAUGGCUGAACCUGCAGGAAGAGACGUCCAGCAGCCCUAAGAACGUUGGAGUCCACGCAAAGUCCUGAAUGCAUCUUUGGAUCCCAGGAACGCGUUGGCAGAUCUCUGUUUCUCACUGUAUUUGCAGAUGUUACCUGUUAUUUGUGUAGCUGGAAAUACACAUGAAUAAAUGACACAUACUGAUGUAAGGAGGCUAUUCAGAAGGAAGCUAUGACCUUCACAGACCCAGAUGAAUGUGAGGCCCAUCUUUCAGAUCAGGGAGAUGUUUUUGCAAGGUCUCCAGAGCAAAGGACUGGCUCAGAAAGGUGACAUGUUCUCUGCUGAU